CAAGACCAAAGUAUUGUGGAAGAGUAUUUCCCUGACAUGUGCCACUGUUCCUAACAGUAUUAUUCCACUGCAAGUUUGCUUUACUUUGAUGAUAUCUUACAACAAGCCAAUGAUGGAGAUAAGUUUCAUGAAGAGGUAUAGGAUUACCAGCUUCAUCAACUACUUCAGCAUUGAAACUCUUGAUUGCUACACGACCUCUUGGAAAAUCAAUAUCAUAAUAAAUUCCAUUAACAACUGAUCCAGGUCCUAGCUCAAAUUUGGGGGACAAAAAAACAGCUGAUUUUAUCUUAGCUUUAGUCUUCAGAAUUGAACCUGAGCAUGAUGUGCUCAACAACAGAAGAAGUAUUGCAAGUGAAGAUACAAAAUUUUCAGACAUAAAAGUAGAACACAUGUUGAUCUGUUAGCAAAAGAACACAGUUGGGGUUUGUUUGUUUGUUGAGGAGAAAUUUAGAGUUUGUCGGUAUCAAAUGGUAGAUUUAACUUAUAUUUAUAGAUCAAUGAAUGAAUGAAAGUGAAGUAAUUUAAAAAAAAGUCAUGUUCUGUUGAACCCAUUGGGAUUGGUCGAGUGGUGUUGGCUUGGGCUCUUGGAGUAUGCUCCUCUCAAGGUCUCAGGUUCGAUUCCCACUGGUGCCAAUUUCGGUGAGCUAAGUCCAUACAGAGCAAAAAAAACUCUGGCUUUAAAUGGGGCCCCCGCAAGUGGGCGGUGGAAUUGGUCCCCUUAAAUUAGUCGGUCCUAAGACCGGAUACCAAGUUUUUAAAAAAAAAAGAGUCAUGUUCUGUUGUUUCCUAGUAGGUAACACUCAUCAAUAGGUUCGUUGCAAAAUUUAAGUAUGCACAGGAAAAACGUUUAACUUACUGUGAGAUCUUACACCUCAUGUUGAUAAUUUAAGGAUAUUUAAGUCACUUCAUAUGCAUAUGACAAAUUAUCAAUGGGUCCUAGUUUGACUAGCGAAAACAGUUUCAAAAUCAAACACAAUAUAAUUGAAAUUAUGUUGUCCAGUCUCUUAUUUUUUAGCAGAUUAAAUGCACAAAUUUUACUCCAUCUAAUCUAACCUUAGUUUUGCGAGCUUAAUUAUAACUUAUAAGUAAAUAUUUCACUCAUUUAAUAACCGGUUAAAUACAUCGGUUUUAUUCAAUAAAUCUAUAAAAAAGAAGUGACAAAAUUACACCAUGAGUCAUUUAUCUUAUUUAUUUCUAAUAGAUUUGUCGGGUAUUUUUUUUUUAAAAAAAAAAACUGAUCACCUAUCUUGAUAAAUGUGCACAAUUUAAUCAUUUAUCAUAUUUAUUUGUAAUAUAUUCAUCUAUUAUCUUAUUUAUUUGUAACAUAUUCGUCCUUUAUCUUUUUUUCUUUUCCCACACAUGUCAUUUAUCUUUAUAAAUGUGCACAACUUAAUUUUUUAUCUUAUUUAUUUGUAACAUAAUAAAAUGUUUGAAACAUGGAACAAGGUGUUCUUGCGAUGAAGCACCGACACCUCUAUGAUUAGGCGUGUCGCGAUGUCCGACACGUGUCGGUGUCCGACACACGUAUGACACUCGUACGACACGUGUCGGAUAGCUCAGAUCGGUGUCCAUAAAAACUCAAUUUUUCAAUAAAUAACUUGCUCAACUUAGAUUUACAUGUAUAUAUUUUGACUCUCAAUUUAUAUUUUUUAUAAAUAUGUAGCGGUGUCGGUGUUCUAUAUUUUUUACAAUAGCGGUGUCGCGGCGUCCGUGUCGGUGUCGUGUCGCAGUGUCCGUGUCGGAGUCUGUGCUUCAUAGCUUGCGAGUAUAUUUGGAAAGACACUAAAGGUUGGAUUUUAAAUGUUAGUGGUUAAGUCGAAUGUUGGAUAUACAAGAGAAGUGACUCAUGAACUAAUACCUUAAAGUUUUGUGUAGAGAUACGACGUCUCCCUCUCAUGUGAUCCUGGAGUAUUAACUCAUUGUUACUUUCGACGCUACCUGAACUCUCCAGUAAAUGGUAUCAAAACUGUGGUUCGAUAGUGUUUAUAAAAUUUGAUCACCUCUCUUCUUACAAGCAGAUUUUAUAAGAUCGAAUUAGACUCAAGUUAAAUUCUAACAAAACCCUUUGAUUGUUACUAUUCUCUGCACUCUGCAGAUGUCCUGUUAUUCUUCUGGACUGCCUUAAUCUCAUGACUUGUGUGAGAAUUAACUACAAGAGAAUAGUAAAAAUAUGCUAAUAAUAACAACCAUGGCUUGAAUGUGGUUGAACACUUCUGGCUUGAAUUCAGUAUAAUCUUGAAGGCCGUUCUCUUUAUUUAUUUAGCAAAUCCUUGAAUAUUAAUAUUGGUUACUCCAAGGCUAAUAUUUAGAUAUAAUUUAUCUCAAUUUAAGCCAUUGGAUAUAUCUUUUUUUAACUUCUGAGUCUCGUCAUACAUUACCUGUGUAUAUAUAGUGUAUAUCUAUCUGUCUGAUUUAAGGGGCUAUAAAAUAUUUAUGCCAGGAUCCUGUUUGUUACACUACACAGUAAGAUUACUACAGAUGCNNNNNNNNNNNNNNNNNNNNNNNNNNNNNNNNUUUCAGAUCAGAGAUUAGUUCUAUAAAAAUGUGUUAAUCUAUUACUAUCACUUUCUACCCUUGAGGCCUUGACAAAUGAGUUCAUUCUCACUAUUGAAAUGAGAGGAAGUGACGGGGACCAGAGUUGAGGCGAAGUUACAAACGUAGGGAGCAGCGACGGUUGAGCUAUGAACGAGGAAGCAAAUGUGGGUUCACAAUUUUGCCAAGGGUGGCAGACAACUGACUUGUUCCGUAAGGAAGCCACACCUGUGGCAGGACCCUAUACUUGUUCCAUAGCCACUUUGCAUGUACGUUUCAAGAGAGAAGAUCUUUUAAGCAACUUUAGGACAUAAACAACAUUAGCUACUCACAAUUCCUAAUAUUAAACAUCAAAAUAAAUUUGUGAUGUGUAACAUCAAAAUAAAUAAAAAUGGCUAAUGGGUUAUAAGUGUUCUAAUGAAACAGAAAUAUUCUUCAUAAUAAAUGGAAAUCCCAUUAUUUUAAGCAUAUCAAUAUGCUUUUUAUUUUUUGAAACAUAAGCAUAUCAAUAUGCUACAUUGUACAACAAACAUACCACAUAGCCAUAUCCAUAUGAUACCAGAAAGAGUGGAUGAAUACAAAAAUACAAACUAAACAAUUACAGGAAACUAGAGGAUAGAAUGUCUAAAGUGCUGGUAUAUGGGAGUUGUUCGGCUACUAAAAGGUAGAAAAGCCCCAUUACUCCAGCGUGUUCCUUGGUGUUAUUGUAGAUAGAUUCUAGAGUUAAAGUUUCACCAUCGAUUAUCUUGACAGAACCUGGUUGAGGAUAACAAGUGGACAUUCCUACAAUGUGCCCUACUUCAUUUCCUGCUUCAUUCCCAUUUCCAUAAAUUGGUAUAGAUGAACAUAUAACCCUCCCGUCCUGAAAACAUAAUCCACAAAUUUCACAAAACAAGCUACUGCACAAUGUUUAACUACUUGAUCAAAGGUAAAAGUACUAGAAAACAACCCUGGUACAAAAGUAAACAUUCGAAAAACGACCAAGUAUUGAAGUUACAAACUCAAAGUCUUACCACUACCAAAUAUUUAAGAAUGACAAUAAGUUGUAACUAUUGCAAAUUACCUGUCCAUAUAGAGUUGAUCCAAUUCCGCCCGAAUGUUGAUGAGCAACCCCAUAGAUCACAUAGCCACCUGUUUGAAAUGGGAGAUUUGUCCUCUUUACAUGAACACAACCAUUUUCCUCCUUGUGGUCUGUACUGCAUGAUUCUACUUGAUACUCAACCUGAAACCAAAAAAAAUUCCAUGUUGCUUACUAUAAAACCCAACAAAGUAGAGUUUUAGAGUUAAAUAGAGAUUUAGACAAACAAACUACAUAUAUAGUUGAGAGACUCGACAUUCACACAAUCAGUACACCGGUAGCCGUUGGAUUGAGAUUGGACCAUCAUAGAUUCCAAGUGCGGUAUUUUGGAUUUUCAAACAAUCAAAAUCAUAUAUUUUGGGAAAUGUCCGAUUUUUAACCAACAGUCACUGGUGCAUUGAAUACGUGAAAGCAGGGUAUCCCAACUACACUGAACCCAUUUCAACUAACCAAAUGUUUCUUGAUAAAUUCAUUUACCUUGCAAUUAUGAUCUGAGUUCGUUCCUUUUGAAUCAUCUGAUAGUUUCAAAGUAUCAGUCACAUCAAGUACAUAUAUCUUAACAGGCACUAUAUAAUCAUCCCAAUCAAUCCAUUUCACUUUGUAUCUUAAGUAGAGGCUUCUCUUUGGACCCUCAAAACCUUCCUUCAGCUUGCACUGUGUAUUAUCAUAACAACAUAACAAACCUCCUUUAUAAUCUGGUCUAAUAGACCUUCCAGAUUCAUCGAUUGUAACAUUAUAAAGGUCACACUUACACUCGGUGCACCCUGAUUUAUCCUCUGCGCCGCGAUUAUCAAUAGCAUGAAUAUUAACCAGCCAUUUCUCCUCAAACUCUUCUGGAAUCUCUGCAGGAUUACCUAUCUCUAUUCCAAAAGGAUCCGGAAUAUCAGUCGCCGUUCGUCGUGUUUCGGAUCCAAGGCCAAAGUAUUGUGCAUAAAUAGUUCCCUGACACAUGCCACUGUUCCUAAAAGUAUUUUUCAAAUGCGAGUUUGCUUUACUUUGAUGAUAUCUUACAACAACCCAAUGAUGGAGAUAAGUUUCAUGGAGAGGUAUAGGAUUACCAGCUUCAUCAACUACUUCAGCAUCGAAACUCUUGAUUGCUACAUGACCUCUUGGAAAAUCAAUAUCAUAAUAAAAUCUAUUAACAACUGAUCCAGGUCCUAGCUCAAAUUUGGGGGAUAAGAAAACAGCUGAUUUUAUCUUAGCUUUAGUCUUCAGAAUAGAACCUGAGCAAGAUGUGCUCAACAACAGAAGAAGUAUUGAAAGUGAAAAUACAAAAUUUCCAGACAUAGAACACAUGUUGAUCUUAGCAAAAUCUUGCAUGAUAGUCCUCCCUGGAAGCCUUUAAAAAAGUGAAUUAAACUACAAAAUAAACAAAACAGAUAAUAUAUGGCAGAUCAUAUCACCAAAUAAACUAACUACACAAAUAAGCAUGAAAAAGACAUAGUUUGAACAAAAUCAUCAUCAUCAAGAUUUUAAAUUAGUCACAUGGCAACUUAUAAAUACAGUUGAAGUUGAUUCAGCUUCAAUUGCAAUCACAACUAGUCAUCAAAAUUUUGAUGUUGUGACUACAAUUGUUGUCACAGAACAUAACAUUUUUAAAACAUAAACUUAUGAUCAAGCAACUUUGUUUUAUAUUAAAAAAAAAAGUAUAAUUAGCAAUAUUAGAUAGUGAUUAUAGAAACUAAUGACCAAAAAGGAUUAGAGUAUAUGAUCAAGAAUAGAUAGAUGAGAUUGCAUACCUCAAGAAAGUCUGGAAAAUGACAGAGUCUGGAAAUUUAGAGUGUGUCGGUAUUAAAUAGUAGAUAAGAUAAUGAAUGAGUGAAUGAAUGCAAGUGUAGAGAUUGUAAUUCAAUAUUUUAAAUUAUCUUUUCUUUCCUUUUUGGGACACGCAGCCCCUAAAUAUAUUUAGCCGACUAAAUUAAUAUAUUUAAAUAGCUUAAGCAUUUUAUUAAAAAUAAAUGGUAUAAUCAACUUCUGAUAAUGUCUAAUUUUUUUUUUUAAGUAAAAAUGGAAAGCAUGACAUCAUAGUAAGUCAUCGACAUCCCAACUAUAUUGACACCUCAGUGCACUAUCACUCCUCUAUUAUCUCACCAAAAAUAUACUUCAUAAUUUGUCUUAUCCUUUUAACAAUUACUAGUAAUUAUUCAUUGACAAUGAUAUGUUGGUGCUCCCAUCCCACCUCUAAAAAAAAUUUCUCCAUCUUCAAAAAUAUAUAAGAAAAUGAUAAAGAAAAUGAGUGGCUGAUAAGCUCUAUAUUAUUCUAAAUACUAAAUUUAUCCGUUGAAAUUUUUUAAAUUCAGAACUACUUCACAAAGUGAUAUCUUACGUAUUUUCUAUAUAGGAGCAUAAGUGUCUUCACAAAAUACUAAUUCCUUUAGUUCAAUUUUUCUACCCAACCAAACAAGCAAAGAGAACACUUAUCUUUUCUUACCCAGUUUCUCUUUUCUCGAAUACAUAGGUGUUAUUCAAAAAUCUAAAAAAAUGUGACAAAAUUAUACUAGGAGUUAUUUAUCUUUAUUAUUGAUUUUUAUUGCGAAGUUGUAGUGCACCAUUCUUAUCGUGGAGCAAACUUUUGUGCGGAUACAUUGACAAAUUACGAGUGUUUAUUGGAUAAAAAGAUGAAAUUUUAAGAGUCAUAUCCGGUGAAUUUUAGUCAUUUGUUAAUUACUAAUGUAAUUGGGAGAAUUUCUUCCGCUAUAUUAAUCUUGUGUAAUCUUUUUUCUCUUUUCUCGAAUACAUAGGUGUUAUUCAAAAAUCUAAAAAAAUGUGACAAAAUUAUCCUAGGAGUUAUUUAUCUUUAUCUUCUUUUUUCCCCAAAUUGAUCACUUAUCUUUAUAAAUGUGCACAACUAAAUCUUUUAUCAUAUUUGUUUGUAACAUAUUCAUCAAUUAUUUUAUUUAUUUAUAACAUAUUCAUCCUUUAUCUUAUUUUUUAUCUCACACGUGUCAUUUAUCUUUAUAAAUGUGUACGAAUAUUUCAAAGGGAUGGGCUGCAAUAUUUCAAUGUUUGGUCGCGAGGUAAGGAAAGUUUGACAAAAAAUUUAUUCCCACCAAAUAUCGAACUCAGGUUCUCCCGAACAAUUCAUCCUUAAGGGAGCUAAUUUACUCUAUAUUAUCCAAUAAACAUGGAUGUUCUUGCGAGUAUAUUUGGAAAGACACUAAAUGUUGGAUUUUAAAUGUUAGUGGUUCAGUCGAAUGUUGGAUAUAAAAUGUUGCGAGUAUAUCAGAACUGUGGUUCAAUAGUGUUUAUAAAAUUUGGACACCACUCUCUUACAAGCCGAUUUUAUAAGAUCGAAUUAAACUAACUCAAAUUCUAACCAAACCCUUUGAUUGAUUGUUACUAUGUCUGCACAAGAUCUGUUAUUCUUUUGUAUUGCCUUAAUCUCAUGACUUGUGUAUAUCUAUCUUUCUGAUUUAAGGGGCUAUAAAAUAUUUAUUCCAGGAUCCUGUUUGUUACACUACACUGUAAGAUUGUUUCAGAUGCUAAAUUAGCGUUUCAGAUCAGAGAUUAGUUCUAUAACAAUGUGUUAACCUAUUACUAUCACUUUCUACCCUUGAGGCCUUGACAAAUGAGUUUGUUCUGACUAUUGAAACGAGAGAGACGAACAUGGACAAAAACUAACCUAAUUGAAAUGCAAUGGUGACAACUGAGNNNNNNNNNNNNNNNNNNNNNNNNNNNNNNNNNNNNNNNNNNNNNNNNNNNNNNNNNNNNNNNNNNNNNNNNNNNNNNNNNNNNNNNNNNNNNNNNNNNNNNNNAUAUCUAUAUCCAUAUAUGAUACUUAUCACAUAGCCAUAUAACAUAUUCAUAUAUGAUACAAGAAAGAGUGGAUGAAUCCAAAAAUACAAACUGUAUAUCACUAAAACUAGAGAAUAUGCUCACCUCUUGUUUUUCUCCUAUAGCUAGCUACAUACAAAGAGAAAAAAGUGUAAUUAUCCAAUUACACUUUCCAAUCUUGUCUUUAUUCCUCUCAAGUCUUAACCAACCAUAUGGUAAUUUAAUAUCAUGUCACUCCGCUUAUAUUACCAUUUAUUUACAUCCAUAAAAAAUGAAGAACGAGUAGAAUGUCUAAAGUGUUGGUAUGGGAGUUGUUCUGCUACUAAAAGGUAGAAAAGCCCCAUUACUCCAGAGUGUUCCUUGGUGUUAUUGUAGAUAGAUUCUAGAGUUAAAGUUUCACCAUCGAUUAUCUUGACAGAACCUGGUUGAGGAUAACAGGUGGACAUUCCUACAAUGUACCCUACUUCAUUUCCUGCUUCAUUCCCAUUUCCAUAAGUUGGUAUAGAUGAACAUAUAACCCUACCGUCCUGAAAACAUAAUUCACAAAUUUCACAAAACAAGCUACUGCACAAUGUUUAACUUCUUGAUCAAAAGUAAAAGUACUAGAAAACAACCCUGGUACAAGAGUAAACAGAUACGAAAAACGACCAAGUAUUGAAGUUUCAAAGUCAAAGUCUUACCACUAUCAAGUAUUUAAGAAUGACUAUAAGUUAUAAAUAUUGCAAAUUACCUGUCCAUAUAGAGUCGAUCCAAUUCCACCUGAAUGUUGAUGAGCAACAGCAUAUAUCACAUAGCCACCAGUUUGUAAUGGGAGAUUUGUCCUCUUUACAUGAACACAACCAUUUUCCUCCUUGUUGUUUGUACUGCAAGAUUCUACUUGAUACUCAUUCUGAAACCCAAAAAAAAACCAUGUUGCUCACUAUAUAAUACCCAACAAAGUAAUGGACUAGUGUUAUGUUUUAGAGUUAAAUUCAGAUUUAGACAAACAAACUACAUAUAUAAUUCCCUAUAAUUUAGAUACUCUACAUUCACACAAUCAGCAGACCAGUAACCGUAUUGGAUGAUCAAAGAUUCAAAGCGCGGUAUUUUGGAUUUUAAAACAAUCAAAAUCUAUAUAUUUUGUGAAUUGUCCGAUUUUUAUCCAACAGUACUGGUGCAUUGACUACGUGAAAGCGGUGUAUCCCAACUACACAUAACCCAUUUCAACAAACCAAAUGUUUCUUGAUGAACUCAUUUACCUUGCAAUUAUGAUCUGAGUUUGUUCCUUUUGAACCAUCUGAUAGUUUCAAAGUAUCACUCACAUCAAAUAUAUAUAUCUUAACAGGCACUAUAUAAUCAUCCCAAUCAAUCCAUUUCACUGUGUAUCUUAAGUAGAGGCUUCUCUUUGGACCCUCAAAACCUUCCUUCAGCUUGCACUGUGUAUAAUCAUAACAACAUAACAAACCUCCUUUAUAAUCUGGCCUAAUAGACCUUNNNNNNNNNNNNNNNNNNNNNNNNNNNNNNNNNNNNNNNNNNNNNNNNNNNNNNNNNNNNNNNNNNAUCUGGCCUAAUAGACCUUCCAUAUGAAUCCACCGUAACAUUAUAAAGGUCACACUUACACUCAGUACACCCUGAUUUAUCCUCUGCGCCACGCGUAUCAAUAGCAUGAAUAUUAACCAUCCAUUUCUCCUCAAACCCUUCCGGAAUCUCUGCAGGAUUACCUAUCUCAAUUCCAAAAGGAUCCGGAAUAUCAGUCGCUGUUCCUCGUGUUUCGGAUCCAAGGCCAAAGUACUGUCCAAGAGUAUCUCCCUGACAUAUGCCACUGUUCCUAACAUGAACUCUAUCAGAGUAUUUACUUUGAUGAUAUCUUACAACAAGCCAAUGAUGGAGAUAAGUUUCAUGGAGAGGUACAGGAAUACCAGCUUCAUCAACAACUUCAGCAUUGAAACUCUUGAGUGCUAUAUGACCUCUUGGAAAGUCAAUAUCAUAAUAAAAUCUAUUGCUAACUAAUCCAGGUCCUAGCUCAAAUUUAGGGGACAAAAAAACAGCUGAUUUUAUCUUAGCUUCAGUCUUCAGAAUAGAACCUGAGCAUGAUGUGCUCAACAACAGAAGAAGUAUUGCAAGUGAAAAUACAAAAUUUCCAGACAUAGAAGUGGAACACAUGUUGAUCUGUUAGCAAAAUCUUUAUUAGUAAUUAUUAUUAAUAAAACAUUAAAGAGCCGAUUGUGCUCAUAAAAUUCAUUGACAUGUAAAGUACAAUAGAAUUAUUAUGCAAUUAAAUGAGUAUAAUGAUCAAAAGAUAAAUCUUGCAAAAAAGUCCUCUUAGGAAGCCUUUAAAGAAUUGAAGUAAGCCAAAGAAUAAACAAGAUGUACAAAAUUACUAACUACACAAAUAAGCAUGAAAAAGACAUAGUUUGAACAGACUGACUACAAUUGUGGUGACAGAAGAACAGAACACUUUAAAAACAUUAAUUAUUAUAUGACAUAACUUGUGACCAAACAAACUUGUUUUAUAUAAACGAAGUUUUUUUUUUUGGUCAAGUAGCCUGGUGGCUAGAAAAUCCACUUUAAAGGUGAAUAAGUGGAGUGCUCAGGUUCGAACCCAGGCUCCUGCACAUAUAGUGCGAUGUCCCUAUCAACUGAGUUAAGUUCACGAGCACAUACAAAGUUAUAAUUAGCAAUAUUAGAUGGAGAUUAUAGAAACUAAUGACCAAACAAAAAGGAUGGAGUAUUGUGCAAGUAUAUGAUCAAGACUCAAGAAUAGAUAAAUGAAAGUAAAAAGUAGUACUAAUAUAGAACUUAACACCAAACUGAGACAUGUAAAAAGUGAAGAAAAAUUGAAGGAACAGAAGCAAUAGGCAACAAGAGGAUGGAGAAGAGAUUGUAUAC
rnacentral:lncRNA from 1 species